rnacentral:rRNA from 1 species
AUACGUAGGUGGCAAGCGUUGUCCGGAAUUAUUGGGCGUAAAGCGCAUGUAGGCGGUUUGGUAAGUCGGUCGUGAAAAUGCGGUGCUUAACGCCGUAUGGCGAUUGAAACUGCUGAACUUGAGUGCAGGAGAGGAAAGGGGAACUCCCAGUGUAGCGGUGAAAUGCGUAGAUAUUGGGAAGAACACCGGUGGCGAAGGCGCCUUUCUGGACUGUGGCUGACGCUCAGAUGCGAAAGCCAGGGUAGCGAACGGGAUUAGAUACCCCGGUAGUCCUGGCCGUAAACGAUGGGUACUAGGUGUGGGAGGUAUCGACUCCUUCCGUGCCGGAGUUAACGCAAUAAGUACCCCGCCUGGGGAGUACGGCCGCAAGGCUUAAACUCAAAUGAAUUGACGGGG